GGGGAGAACUAGGCGGCUUUCUGAUCAGAGUUCAGAUAAAAAGGGUCACAGUAAUUUGUGGGCACUGACUAAAAUAACCCAAUGGAUUUGAGAGUUACCGCAAAAGAAGCAAACAGACAAACUAAAGAGAACUUGAACUUGGGUACUGACAAAUGAAGAUGAUGAACUUAUGUUUUUUACCUUCUUACCGUGUAUAACUCCUACUUGAAGAGUGUGAGAGAAUAUUUACUACUCGGAUGUUUGAGACAUACCAAAAAAUGCUUUUUGAUCCUUUAUCAAGAAGACGUAAUGACCAAGAUUGAUAAAGAAAAAUGCAAUGGUUACUUUACCUGCAACCAUCUCAAAGACGCUCUAAUGUCAUUUCAGAGGACUUCAGCCAUGAACUUGGUGAUGAGCCAGAGAAGGAACUGAUUCAGAAUCCCAUAUCACAUUUUGUUAUUACUUUUGCCUGGUCUCCUGCUGUCUGGAACAGUUUUUCAGUCUUCCUUCAUUUUCAAGAGUGUGAAAGGAUCCCAAGACCAAAAGUCUGGGAACUGCUGGUUUAGAGUCACAAUACUGACUGCUCAAAAUGACUUUUUAAAGAAGAAAGCCUUAAAAACCCUUGAGUGAAUGGUUGGUAUUUACAGACAAGCAAAUGUAUGGAAGAGAAACGAGAGACCCAGCCUGAAUCUGUUGAAUGAACGAAAGGGGAAAUGCCCUAAGGAGUCAGAUGGAAGAAGUUUUUCUGGGAAGAGCAGAACACAGGAGUUGGGGUGCAGACCUCCUGGAUCACCAGCAGAAGGAAAAGAGCAGUGAGACGUUAAAGUGAUUGAGACAAAAAUGGAAGUAAAACAGCUUAAGGCUUUCUGAGAUCGAGUUCCUGGCAGUGUCAUCAGCAGAUGGUUUCUUCUGAAGUUCAGGGGAAGAGAAGAUGCUCGAAGAACUCUCCAGGGACUGAGUGGGUGGUACAGAGCUAGUGCUGUAGAUGCCAUGUAUACAGGCAAAUUCCCCAAUGAGUGUUUUCCAAUAUCAAGUUUAACUGGCAUUUAAGAUAUAUGCCAAAGGUAGGUAAAUUAUUUUGGCCUGUGCUUAUAGGUUUAUUUCCCUGGAUGAAGCUUUCUGUCUCUGUCCUAGUGCACUGUAGCAGAUGCAGGGUCUUUCCAUACAAUACAUUAAAAGCUGCAUCUCAUUUUAAAUAUAUUAUAGAAACCCUGAUCAUACAAUACAUACAAGAUUUUUAAGAUCAGCCUUCAGUCGAUUUUUUUGCUUUAUUUUUGUUCUGGAGGUCAAAAUGAGUGGUUAACUGUCUAAGUUGAUUGCAGAGAAAGUUACUACUCAUUCUAAACGUAGGUUUUUAGAAAAGUGUUCUUGGCAGUUGCUACCAUUGGCUUUUUCCAACUUACAUGGGAAUCAAGAUUCAGAACUGGUACACCAAUGGGAAGAGCCUGGAAAAUAGACUAUUGAUCAAGAUGAAUCUGGUCCAGAUACUUUAAGACCUUUUCAGUGUGUUUUUAAGAUUAUAAGUUUGAACUAACAGAAACUUCAAUGCUGUUUUUUCACAAGUCAAUGUGUAGUGUACUGUUAUUCUUUUUUUUCCUGUAAUAUCUUAAUAAUAUUCCUGGCUGUAAGAAAAAGUUAACACUAUACCUAUGUUUUGACUUACUUUAUAGAAGACCCAAACAAUAUUUAACAAAAGGAUUUUUCUCAAAUACUAUUUUGAAAUCACUAUAUUAGACACUAUCUUAAAUUUAUUUCUCAAUUUGCUUCUUUUUGAAACUUCCACAUUUUGGUGUUCUUUUCAGCAUCACUCAUUUUCUUUCAUAA
ensembl:lncRNA novel transcript